rnacentral:rRNA from 1 species
AUUGAACGCUGGCGGCAUGCCUUACACAUGCAAGUCGAACGGCAGCGGGCCUUCGGGUGCCGGCGAGUGGCGAACGGGUGAGUAAUGCAUCGGAACGUGCCAUUGAGUGGGGGAUAACGUAGCGAAAGUUACGCUAAUACCGCAUAUUCUGUGAGCAGGAAAGCAGGGGACCGCAAGGCCUUGCGCUCUUUGAGCGGCCGAUGUCAGAUUAGCUAGUUGGUGAGGUAAAGGCUUACCAAGGCGACGAUCUGUAGCGGGUCUGAGAGGAUGAUCCGCCACACUGGAACUGAGACACGGUCCAGACUCCUACGGGAGGCAGCAGUGGGGAAUAUUGCGCAAUGGGCGAAAGCCUGACGCAGCCACGCCGCGUGAGCGAUGAAGGCCUUGGGUCGUAAAGCUCUGUGGGGAGAGACGAAGAAAGACCCGUGAAGAGCGGGCCUUGACGGUAUCUCCUUAGCAAGCACCGGCUAAACUCCGUGCCAGCA